UACGGGGGGGGCAAGCGUUGUUCGGAAUUACUGGGCGUAAAGGGCUCGUAGGCGGCCAACUAAGUCAGACGUGAAAUCCCCAGGCUCAACUUGGGAACUGCAUCCGAUACUGGAUGGCUUGAAUUCGGGAGAGGGAUGCAGAAUUCCAGGUGUAGCGGUGAAAUGCGUAGAUAUCUGGAGGAAUACCGGUGGCGAAGGCGGCAUCCUGGACCGACAUUGACGCUGAGGAGCGAAAGCUAGGGGAGCAAACGGG
rnacentral:rRNA from 1 species